GAUGAACGCUGGCGGCGUGCCUAAUACAUGCAAGUCGAGCGAACGGUCGAGAAGCUUGCUUCUCUGAUGUUAGCGGCGGACGGGUGAGUAACACGUGGAUAACCUACCUAUAAGACUGGGAUAACUUCGGGAAACCGUAGCUAAUACCGGAUAAUAUUUUGAACCGCAUGGUUCAAAAGUGAAAGACGGUCUUGCUGUCACUUAUAGAUGGAUCCGCGCUGCAUUAGCUAGUUGGUAAGGUAACGGCUUACCGAGGCAACGAUGCAUAGCCGACCUGAGAGGGUGAUCGGCCACACUGGAACUGAGACACGGUCCAGACUCCUACGGGAGGCAGCAGUAGGGAAUCUUCCGCAAUGGGCGAAAGCCUGACGGAGCAACGCCGCGUGAGUGAUGAAGGUCUUCGGAUCGUAAAACUCUGUUAUUAGGGAAGAACAUAUGUGUAAGUAACUGUGCACAUCUUGACGGUACCUAAUCAGAAAGCCACGGCUAACUACGUG
rnacentral:rRNA from 1 species